UACGGAGGAUGCGAGCGUUAUCCGGAUUUAUUGGGUUUAAAGGGUGCGUAGGCGGGAUGCCAAGUCAGCGGUAAAAAUGCGGUGCUCAACGCCGUCGAGCCGUUGAAACUGGCGUUCUUGAGUGGGCGAGAAGUAUGCGGAAUGCGUGGUGUAGCGGUGAAAUGCAUAGAUAUCACGCAGAACUCCGAUUGCGAAGGCAGCAUACCGGCGCCCUACUGACGCUGAGGCACGAGAGCGUGGGUAUCGAACAGG
rnacentral:rRNA from 1 species